AGAGUUUGAUCAUGGCUCAGGAUGAACGCUGGCGGCGUGCCUAAUACAUGCAAGUCGAACGAGGCCCUCACCUUCGGGUGAGGUGUCCUAGUGGCGAACGGGUGAGUAACACGUUGGUGACCUACCCCGAAGAGGGGGACAACCCCGGGAAACUGGGGCUAAUACCCCAUGUGAUCCAGAGCGCUAGAGGGCUCUGGAUGAAAUGGAGCAAUCCGCUUCGGGAGGGGCCUGCGGCCUAUCAGCUAGUUGGUGGGGUAACGGCCUACCAAGGCGACGACGGGUAGGGGGCCUGAGAGGGUGGCCCCCCACACUGGAACUGAAACACGGACCAGACACCUACGGGUGGCAGCAGUAGGGAAUAUUGCCCAAUGGACGAAAGUCUGAGGCAGCAACGCCGCGUGCGCGAUGAAGGCCUUCGGGUUGUAAAGCGCUUUUCUGGGGGACGAGAAAGGACGGUACCCCAGGAAUAAGUCUCGGCUAACUACGUGCCAGCAGCCGCGGUAAAACGUAGGAGGCAAGCGUUAUCCGGAUUUACUGGGCGUAAAGCGCGUGCAGGCGGCUUGGUAAGUCGGACGUGAAAGCUCCCGGCUCAACUGGGAGAGGCCGUUCGAAGCUACCAGGCUAGAGGGCAGCAGAGGGAGGUGGAAUUCCGGGUGUAGCGGUGAAAUGCGUAGAUAUCCGGAGGAACACCAGUGGCGAAAGCGGCCUCCUGGACUGUCCCUGACGCUAAGACGCGAAAGCUAGGGGAGCGAACGGGAUUAGAAACCCCGGUAGUCCUAGCCGUAAACGACGCAGACUUGGUGUUGGUGGUCUAAACCCCAUCAGUGCCGAAGCUAACGCGGUAAGUCUGCCGCCUGGGGACUACGAUCGCAAGGUUAAAACUCAAAUGAAUUGACGG
rnacentral:rRNA from 1 species